GUGCGCUUCAGCAGCACAUAGACUAAAACUGGAGCGAUACAAAGAAGAUUAGCAUGGCCCCCGCACAAGGAUGACACGCAAAUUUGUGAAGCAUUCCAGUUUUUU
ensembl:snRNA U6 U6 spliceosomal RNA